rnacentral:lncRNA from 1 species
GCACACCUAUCCAAGGAAGCCAAAGCACAAGCCAAGGAGAGCGUCUAGACCAAGACCAAGACCAAGGUGAGCGUCUAGGACGUGAAAGUGAGCGUCUAGGACGUGAAGGUGAGCGUCUAGGACGUGAAGGAGGGAGGCUAUCCAAGGAGCUAGACCGUCUAGGACCCCUUACAAGAUCAAUGGCCAAACAUAUUCAAACACAAGCAAAUGAGGCCACGGAUGGAAGAGAGAAGGCUUUGUAUAUGUUUGCAUAAAGGCCCAUUGGGGGUAUUUAGUAGAUAGGGUAGUGUAGGAAGCAUUUUUGGAAGGAAACAUUCUAGAAUGUAGGGUUGUGUGGCCGGUCAUGGAUUGGCACAUGGCUUAGCAUUUAGAUUUAAUUUUUGGUUUUCUUUUCUUGUAAUUUAGCUUACAAGUUACGUCCACAAAUAGCCUAUAAAUAGGAAGGCUAUUCCAUUGUAUUUGACAAGUUUAUUUGAGUAUUGUUAUGCUGCCCAUUUUGUGCACUAGCUAUACUUCUCCUAGAAAUCUAGGCUAUAAACUUCACUCCCUUCACCUUUCUUCAUAGAGCUGGCCGAACCUCUCUAAAUUCAUACUCAUCAUGCACCUUCAAAGCCAUCACAACUCCUAGGAGGGCUUUGUUUCACUCACCCAUUGCUUCCGCAUCCAUUUUACUACUUUGAUUCAAGAAGA